rnacentral:rRNA from 1 species
AACGUAGGAGGCGAGCGUUAUCCGGAGUGACUGGGCGUAAAGGGUCCGUAGGCGGUCGUACACGUCUGAUGAGAAAGCUCUCGGCUAAACUGAGAGAGGACGUCGGAUACGGUUGGACUAGAGGGUGAUAGAGGAGCGUAGAAUUCCUGGUGUAGCGGUGAAAUGCGUAGAGAUCAGGAAGAACACCGGUGGCGAAGGCGCGCUGCUAGGCCGCAACUGACACUGAGGGACGAAAGCUAGGGGAGCGAAUGGG